rnacentral:rRNA from 1 species
UUGAACGCUGGCGGCAGGCCUAACACAUGCAAGUCGAGCGGUAACACAGAGAGCUUGCUCUCGGGUGACGAGCGGCGGACGGGUGAGUAAUGUCUGGGAAACUGCCUGAUGGAGGGGGAUAACUACUGGAAACGGUAGCUAAUACCGCAUAACGUCGCAAGACCAAAGUGGGGGACCUUCGGGCCUCAUGCCAUCAGAUGUGCCCAGAUGGGAUUAGCUAGUAGGUGGGGUAACGGCUCACCUAGGCGACGAUCCCUAGCUGGUCUGAGAGGAUGACCAGCCACACUGGAACUGAGACACGGUCCAGACUCCUACGGGAGGCAGCAGUGGGGAAUAUUGCACAAUGGGCGCAAGCCUGAUGCAGCCAUGCCGCGUGUGUGAAGAAGGCCUUCGGGUUGUAAAGCACUUUCAGCGGGGAGGAAGGCGGUGAGGUUAAUAACCUCAUCGAUUGACGUUACCCGCAGAAGAAGCACCGGCUAACUCCGUGCCAGCAGCCGCGGUAAUACGGAGGGUGCAAGCGUUAAUCGGAAUUACUGGGCGUAAAGCGCACGCAGGCGGUCUGUCAAGUCGGAUGUGAAAUCCCCGGGCUCAACCUGGGAACUGCAUUCGAAACUGGCAGGCUAGAGUCUUGUAGAGGGGGGUAGAAUUCCAGGUGUAGCGGUGAAAUGCGUAGAGAUCUGGAGGAAUACCGGUGGCGAAGGCGGCCCCCUGGACAAAGACUGACGCUCAGGUGCGAAAGCGUGGGGAGCAAACAGGAUUAGAUACCCUGGUAGUCCAUGCCGUAAACGAUGUCGAUUUGGAGGUUGUGCCCUUGAGGGGUGGGUUCCGGAGCUGACGCGUUAAAUCGACCGCCUGGGGAGUACGGCCGCAAGGUUAAAACUCAAAUGAAUUGACGGGGGCCCGCACAAGCGGUGGAGCAUGUGGUUUAAUUCGAUGCAACGCGAAGAACCUUACCUGGUCUUGACAUCCACAGAACUUUCCAGAGAUGGAUUGGUGCCUUCGGGAACUGUGAGACAGGUGCUGCAUGGCUGUCGUCAGCUCGUGUUGUGAAAUGUUGGGUUAAGUCCCGCAACGAGCGCAACCCUUAUCCUUUGUUGCCAGCGGUUCGGCCGGGAACUCAAAGGAGACUGCCAGUGAUAAACUGGAGGAAGGUGGGGAUGACGUCAAGUCAUCAUGGCCCUUACGACCAGGGCUACACACGUGCUACAAUGGCAUAUACAAAGAGAAGCGACCUCGCGAGAGCAAGCGGACCUCAUAAAGUAUGUCGUAGUCCGGAUUGGAGUCUGCAACUCGACUCCAUGAAGUCGGAAUCGCUAGUAAUCGUAGAUCAGAAUGCUACGGUGAAUACGUUCCCGGGCCUUGUACACACCGCCCGUCACACCAUGGGAGUGGGUUGCAAAAGAAGUAGGUAGCUUAACCUUCGGGAGGGCGCUUACCACUUUGUGAUUCAUGACUGGGGUG